rnacentral:rRNA from 1 species
AUAAUUGUCAGCUAAGUGGCGCACGGGUGAGUAAUGUAUAGAUAACCUGCCCUUAAGAAAGGAAUAACAGUUGGAAACGACUGCUAACGCCCUAUAUGCCUUUAAUACAUAAGUAUGCAAGGGAAACGCUUUAGUGCUUAAGGAUGGGUCUGUAUGGUAUCAGCUUGUUGGUGAGGUAAUGGCUCACCAAGGCUAUGACGCCUAACUGGUUUGAGAGGAUGAUCAGUCACACUGGAACUGAGACACGGUCCAGACUCCUACGGGAGGCAGCAGUGGGGAAUAUUGCACAAUGGACGAAAGUCUGAUGCAGCAACGCCGCGUGGAGGAUGACACAUUUCGGUGCGUAAACUCCUUUUAUAUAGGAAGAUAAUGACGGUACUAUAUGAAUAAGCACCGGCUAACUCCGUGCCAGCAGCCGCGGUAAUACGGAGGGUGCAAGCGUUACUCGGAAUCACUGGGCGUAAAGAGCGUGUAGGCGGGUAUAUAAGUCAGAAGUGAAAUCCAAUAGCUCAACUAUUGAACUGCUUUUGAAACUGUAUACCUAGAAUGUGGGAGAGGUAGAUGGAAUUUCUGGUGUAGGGGUAAAAUCCGUAGAGAUCAGAAGGAAUACCGAUUGCGAAGGCGAUCUACUGGAACAUUAUUGACGCUGAGACGCGAAAGCGUGGGGAGCAAACAGGAUUAGAUACCCUGGUAGUCCACGCCCUAAACGAUGUACACUAGUUGUUGUGAGGCUCGACCUUGCAGUAAUGCAGUUAACACAUUAAGUGUACCGCCUGGGGAGUACGGUCGCAAGAUUAAAA